UGGGGAAUUUUGCACAAUGGGGGAAACCCUGAUGCAGCGACGCCGCGUGAUUUAGAAGGCCUUCGGGUUGUAAAAAUCUUUUGUAUGGGAAGAAAAUGACAGUACCAUCCGAAUAAGGACCGACUACUUACGUGCCAGCAGCCGCGGUAAUACGUAAGGUCCGAGCGUUGUCCGGAAUCAUUGGGCGUAAAGGGUACGUAGGCGGAUAAGCAAGUUAGAAGUGAAAUCCUAUAGCUCAACUAUAGUAAGCUUUUAAAACUGCUCAUCUUGAGGUAUGGAAGGGAAAGUGGAAUUCCUAGUGUAGCGGUGAAAUGCGCAGAUAUUAGGAGGAAUACCGGUGGCGAAGGCGACUUUCUGGCCAUAUACUGACGCUGAGGUACGAAAGCGUGGGUAGCAAACAGG
rnacentral:rRNA from 1 species